rnacentral:lncRNA from 1 species
GUUAAAAUGUGUGAAGUGAAGUAUUCUGGAAAAAGCAAGUUCUUGGAUUCCACUCAGAAGGGAGGGGAGAGGAGGUAGGCUGGGUUGAUCCUAAUGGUGGUACCCUGGACAAAAGGACCGAUGGGGAACCAGGAGGAGGUAUAGGAACCUGAAAAGGCAGAGGACCAAUGAGGAGCACGAGUCCGGGUUCUCUUUUGGAAAGUCAAAUGUAGGCGAUGGACAAGAACUGUUGGAGCAGCAGAUCUGAGAGGCAAAGCUCUGUCUUCAUUCAAGAGGACUGACUCAUUUUGGUCCAAGAUUACUUAGACUUUCUCUUUUAAUUGGGACUAGCUCUUACAAUUGCUGAUGCGGGGAAUGAUCAAGGGCUCUGUCAUUUCAGCCCUGCGUGCCUGUGGGGCCAGGGAUAAGGCCUUGACAGUCCGGAAGGAGAUCUCUGGGCAGGGCUUUGCCAGUAACACUUGACCUUAGGGCUAAUGACGGUCUCUUCAACUCCCGGAUGGUGCUCAAGCCCCAGGGUUCCCAUUGUUAAAAUCUAGAAUAAGGGGAAGCCUCUUUAAGAUGAUCUGCAGGCACAGAGGGCAGAAACACUCUUCUGCUCUGCAGCCGGUGGAGCGCAUAAUCCCAGGGCCUGCCAUUCAUGCUGUGGACAUGACCGGGACCUCCCAGCAGGGUGGAGGAAUGGCCUGCUCAGCUGCACACCGUGGUCUUCUACCAGCUGCAUCUAGUGGAGCUCCCAGUCCAGAAAAGGAGCUAUUAUUUCUGUGUGGGGAAAAUGGAUGACAAGAACAAUGCCUGCCGACUCCUCCUUGCUGCCCCAGUCUCACUGCCCUCCAGCAGAGGCCACCUCUCAGAGUCCUGCACUACUCAAACAACCAGCAAGGGCUUGGCACUGGGCUCCUUGGGAAACGCCUGCCAGGCUGAAUUGUUCAAGGCUGGAAUCACAGCUGAAUGACUCACCCUGCCCAAGAUGCCCGCGUUAAUCCAGCGACUUCAUUCCAGUCACCACUUGUUACCGAGUGCCGAAGCCGAGAAAGAGAGAAGGCUUGAGAGGGAGGGCAGAUCCCCCCCCACGCGGUAUCUACAUCUGAAAGGCAGCCUUUCUGCUGGAGGCCCGCUUGACUUCCUACACCGCCACUCCCUUACAGUCUUGAAAGCCAGCAAGAACUGUUCCACUGCAAAAGUAGCUGCCUGGAUUCCAAGGUGGGUCAGAUAUUAUCCCCCAUCUAAGUAGACCAGGUGGGGAGUUCCCGUCCUGGCGCUGCAGAAACCAGUCUGACUAGUAUUCAUGAGGAUGCAGGUUCGAUCCCUGGUCUCGCUCAGAGGGUUAAGGAUCUGGCAUUGCCGUGAGCUGUGGUGUAGUUCGCAGACACAGCUUGGAUCCCGCAUUGCUGUGGCUGUGGUGUAGGCCAGCAGCUGUAGCUCUGAUUGGACCCCUAGCCUGGGAACCUCCAUAUGUGGCAGGUGCGGUCCUGAAAAAA